rnacentral:rRNA from 1 species
CCUACGGGAGGCAGCAGUAAGGAAUAUUGGGCAAUGGACGCAAGUCUGACCCAGCCAUGCCGCGUGCAGGAUGAAGGCCCUUUGGGUUGUAAACUGCUUUUAUCUGGGAAGAAAUCCACUGUUUCUACGGUGGUUGACGGUACCAGAGGAAUAAGCACCGGCUAACUCCGUGCCAGCAGCCGCGGUAAUACGGAGGGUGCAAGCGUUAUCCGGAUUCACUGGGUUUAAAGGGUGCGUAGGCGGGUUUUUAAGUCAGCGGUGAAAGCUCCGAGCUUAACUCGGAAAUUGCCGUUGAUACUAUUAAUCUUGAAUUUAGUUGAGGUGGGCGGAAUGUGUAGUGUAGCGGUGAAAUGCUUAGAUAUUACACAGAACACCUAUUGCGAAGGCAGCUCGCUAAACUAAUAUUGACGCUGAGGCACGAAAGCGUGGGGAUCAAACAGGGUUAGAAACCCUGGUAGUCCACGCCCUAAACGAUGAUUACUCGAUCCGUGCGAUACACUGUACGGGUCUAUGCAAAAGCAUUAAGUAAUCCACCUGGGAAGUACGACCGCAAGGUUGAAACUCAAAGGAAUUGACGGNGNGAGAGNGCGAGACGACGACGAGGAGAG